UACAGAGGUCUCAAGCGUUGUUCGGAUUCAUUGGGCGUAAAGGGUGCGUAGGCGGCGCGGUAAGUCGGGUGUGAAAUCUCGGAGCUUAACUCCGAAACUGCAUUCGAUACUGCCGUGCUUGAGGACUGGAGAGGAGACUGGAAUUUACGGUGUAGCGGUGAAAUGCGUAGAUAUGCGGAGGAACACCGAUGGCGAAGGCAGUCCCCUGGACCUGUACCGACGCUCAUGCACGAAAGCGUGGGGAUCGAACAGG
rnacentral:rRNA from 1 species